GUUGUUUAUGUGUGCUGAAGAUUGUUCAUACCCGUACCCUGAAGAAAGAAGGCAAAAUAAUCCAUAACUAUUUCUUGAUAAUAAAACACAAGAUAGAUUCUAGAUAUACCUGGAAUAUGUUCAUCCGGGUUCAGUUAAUAAGUGCAUUAGUCAACAUUGUGGUGCAAUGACAGAAUCUGUUGUCCACAACUUCACCUGCCAUAUCCUUAAGGGUCUUGAUUUCCUACAGAGCCAAAAAAUUAUGCAUAGAUCUGGAAAUAGGUUUAAAGGAAAGAUUUAGAAGGUGAAGGAGCUGAUACAGAGCAUGCUAAAUUCUCACUGUCUUAACCAUUUUUCGUGUACAAUGCCAUUCAUGUAUAGGUUUGGAGCUUUGUGCUGACAAGAAUUCUCUGAUUGGCAUCAUUUG